rnacentral:lncRNA from 1 species
UGGCCCCUCUUAGACCUCAUUUGAGGGCUGACCGCAACUGCGGCAGGGUCUCUUUCUGGAAGUUCUUCUUUUGUGGAGUUUUUCUGUAAGCCUGGAUCUUCAGGGAUGGGUGCGUAGCGGAGGCUCUUGUGGCGCCGUGCCGCAGCUGGCAGGUAAGCUGUGCGAGUCGCUCGUCUUUUGGCUGUGUCACACUGUAACUGCUGAAGCUGUCGGGAUGGUAGAGGCAGCCGGGUCGUUAAAUGCGGACGCUGCUGCUUGCUGAAGGACUCUGAAGUCGCAGGAUGAGUAUUAGCACGUGUUGUGUAUUCCUUUGUAGGAGUCAGAGAAGAAAGCAAAGAAAGAAAAAACAAGAAUGGAGGAGGGGUUGUAUUCCUGGAGAGCUGUGGUAGGGCCCCAUUAGGAGGUGGGGUAGCGGCCCCGUGUUGUCCCGGUGCUCAGAGAGGAGGAUGAAUCCACGUUAUCCCAGCAGCACGUGCUGGUGCAGAGGGCUGCUGGUAGAUGUGAAGCACGGCACAGCUGGCGUCGUGUCCUCUGCUGGCCGUGGGAGUGAUGAAGUUGCUGUGUCAGUUUGCUUCUUCCUGUGCUCUGUGCCAUGGGUUUGUGUCCCACACACUCAUGGUGUGGGGGCUGCAAUCUGCAUCCUGCGCUUCAGUGUCUGUUUCUUUAGAAAACAGACUGCAGUUGCAGUUUAUGUAGAACUGCUCUUUUCAAAAAGAGAUGAUGGGCCUGAUUUGGACUCAUUGCGAAGUCCCUCAAAUAUCUUGGGUGUGACAACGUGAUUUGUCCUGUUUCUCCAAGUCUGGUAUUUCUGCCGGGCAGGGUGGAUGCUGCGAAGCUUUCUUUUUGAC